AGGCGAUACCUUAACUAUUAAGCCGAGAGUGAAUUGGAUUGGUUGACAACUGAGCUGAGCUGGAUUCUUAUUAAGAACAAAUGACAGCGGAGGUGUUGCCGGUGACAUUAGCUCUAGGCUACCAGGUGAAAUUAUAUACAGGACAGGGCAGCUACAUUAAUCAUUGCAUCAUCUCACACAGAGGAAACAUUUAUUAUUCUGUGGUUACCGUACUGGAAAGCAUUGCAACUGUACCUGCCAAUAAAAUGGCUGAUGUAUGGCAAAUUGAUCAUUUGUUUUCUUGUACGAGGGAGUCACACAUACAGCAAGGGAGGCAUCGGUCAAAGUCCGUGAGGGAGUUGGUGCUGUGCAUUGUGUUUCCUGAUUUCUCUGCCAAUGUCAAAGCUGUGCAGAGGCAUAACAAGCCAGGCGGUUGGGAAUAAACAAAGCCGAGUGGGCUGAGGGGAAACACUGGCCCACAAUGCGCUCCUGCUGCCAGUCUGUAUUUAUAGGCCCGCGCAUCAUCGGCUCCGCUGUUACACAACCAACUGUUCACGCUAGAUGUUUUUUUUCCUCUUUCUUUCCUUUGUCUUCUCAAGGACUCCAAUUAAAGUCAAGAGAAUGCACGACAGCAGCAGCAGGCGCUCUUCACCGCUCCCUCACCGGCCUCGCUCAUCAAUUCAGCUGCAGUCUCCACUGACAGCCAAAUCUCCACUGCCAUCACGCAUCUGCGGCCUCUUCUGCAUCUGUGGAACUGCAGGAUCACUGAUCCUGCUCUGAUCCCGAAGCAACACAACAACAGUUUAGCGUAUCCCACGGUACCAAAUCCAGUUUCGAAAGCAAUUCUGCUCUUAAGCUUCAGGUGUUCUAGAGCCUUCGGGGUUCAAUUUUUGUUUUCAUCCACAAGUAAGCAAUAACCAGGCUUAGUCUCGAGAAACCUAUACCUACUUCCUGAACUGAUCCAGCCUCUGGUGAUGCUAUAUCCUCAUCCAAGAUGUCCACAGCUUCAGGUUUUCUGUGUUUAUGAGCUGCAAAAAAAGAGAUAAAAAAAGAUAAUAAUAAUAAUUUGAUUUAUAGAAUCACAUUCUCACCUGUUUUCUGUUGGCAUGUGUGAGGUUGGUCAACUAAACAACACUGCUGCUGCUAGUCAUCAUAAGAAAUACAUGACACGUUUAUAUUUAGCAAAUUUUUACAAUGGCUACUUUAAAAUUACAUUAUUUAAAAUUGCAUCAUUACAUAUAACAUAUAAUAUAAUUAUAGAAUAUAGUUAGUGCUGGGAAACGAUUAAUUGUGAUUAAUU
ensembl:lncRNA